GUCGAAGGUGGGGCUGAUGACUGGGGUGAAGUCGUAACAAGGUAUCCGUACCGGAAGGUGCGGAUGGAUCACCUCCUAACAGGGAGACAACACAAUGAUUUUGAUGUCUGAGUACUUUUAUUCUUAGGCCGAAAUCCUGUCACCUUAGGUCGAUCGGUACCUCAGCUUUGAAGUCAAGGAUCAGCAGGAAUGUUGAUUGCUUGAUGGAGAUUUUUAGUUCCUAAACUUUGUCUAGGUCACACCCCAAAAGGGAUGAGACUCCUGGGCCAUUAGCUCAGGUGGUUAGAGCGCACCCCUGAUAAGGGUGAGGUCCCUGGUUCAAGUCCAGGAUGGCCCAUUCGGUGUUGGGGGUUUAGCUCAGUUGGUAGAGCGCCUGCUUUGCAAGCAGGAUGUCAGGAGUUCGAGUCUCCUAACCUCCACUGACCGAACUUGAUUCCCAUCUCCAAUUCUUUUGGAGUUGAGCUCGAUUGGAGUGUGAUUUAGAUGUGUCCGCUGGAUGACCCCAGCUUCCUGUCAUUCCAAGUUUUAGGUUGAUGCCUUGAAUUUGGUUGAUAAGAUGCUGGGCUCGGAUCAAAUGAUCAAGCAAUUGAUGAUUUGAUUUGAAGUUCUAGCAGAACCUUGACAACUGCAUAGGUGAAGUCUGGAAAAACAAGGCAUCUUACAGAUGCAUUGUUUUGAGUCUGAUCUUCUGAAAGGAAGAUGAGAUCCAGAACAAUGAAAAUUCUUUUGAGCAAGAGCCGAGACUCUUGAACGUUCUUUGAUUGGUGUCGAGCCAAUCAGAGUUUGAUCUUGUUUUUAGCAAUAAAAACUUGAGAAUCUGCUUUCAACGGCGGUAAGCGUUUAAGAGGUUAAUU
rnacentral:misc_RNA from 1 species